UGAGUAACACGUGGGCAACCUACCUAUAAGACUGGGAUAACUUCGGGAAACCGGAGCUAAUACCGGAUGACAUAAAGGAACUCCUGUUCCUUUAUUGAAAGAUGGCUUCGGCUAUCACUUAUAGAUGGGCCCGCGGCGCAUUAGCUAGUUGGUGAGGUAACGGCUCACCAAGGCGACGAUGCGUAGCCGACCUGAGAGGGUGAUCGGCCACACUGGGACUGAGACACGGCCCAGACUCCUACGGGAGGCAGCAGUAGGGAAUCUUCCGCAAUGGACGAAAGUCUGACGGAGCAACGCCGCGUGAACGAUGAAGGCCUUCGGGUCGUAAAGUUCUGUUGUUAGGGAAGAACAAAUGCUAGUUAAAUAAGCUGGCACCUUGACGGUACCUAACCAGAAAGCCACGGCUAACUACGUGCCAGCAGCCGCGGUAAUACGUAGGUGGCAAGCGUUGUCCGGAAUUAUUGGGCGUAAAGCGCGCGCAGGCGGUUUCUUAAGUCUGAUGUGAAAGCCCCCGGCUCAACCGGGGAGGGUCAUUGGAAACUGGGAAACUUGAGUGCAGAAGAGGAAAGUGGAAUUCCAAGUGUAGCGGUGAAAUGCGUAGAGAUUUGGAGGAACACCAGUGGCGAAGGCGACUUUCUGGUCUGUAACUGACGCUGAGGCGCGAAAGCGUGGGGAGCAAACAGGAUUAGAUACCCUGGUAGUCCACGCUGUAAACGAUGAGUGCUAAGUGUUAGAGGGUUUCCGCCCUUUAGUGCUGAAGUUAACGCAUUAAGCACUCCGCCUGGGGAGUACGGUCGCAAGACUGAAACUCAAAGGAAUUGACGGGGGCCCGCACAAGUGGUGGAGCAUGUGGUUUAAUUCGAAGCAACGCGAAGAACCUUACCAGGUCUUGACAUCCUCUGACAACCCUAGAGAUAGGGCUUUCCCUUCGGGGACAGAGUGACAGGUGGUGCAUGGUUGUCGUCAGCUCGUGUCGUGAGAUGUUGGGUUAAGUCCCGCAACGAGCGCAACCCUUGAUCUUAGUUGCCAGCAUUUAGUUGGGCACUCUAAGGUGACUGCCGGUGACAAACCGGAGGAAGGUGGGGAUGACGUCAAAUCAUCAUGCCCCUUAUGACCUGGGCUACACACGUGCUACAAUGGAUAGUACAAAGGGUUGCAAGACCGCGAGGUGGAGCUAAUCCCAUAAAACUAUUCUCAGUUCGGAUUGUAGGCUGCAACUCGCCUACAUGAAGCCGGAAUCACUAGUAAUCGCGGAUCAGCAUGCCGCGGUGAUACGUUCCCGGGCAUUGCACUCACCGC
rnacentral:rRNA from 1 species